rnacentral:pre_miRNA from 1 species
CCCUCCCGCUGGAUCUGGCGGAGGGGAGGGCGCCGCCGCCGCUAGGACACCAGCGGGCCGCCGUCGCCUCCCCUCCGCUUGAUCCAACGGAGGGA